rnacentral:rRNA from 1 species
CAGUCGCCACGGUAAUACAGAGGGUGCGAGCGUUAAUCGGAUUUACUGGGCGUAAAGCGUGCGUAGGCGGCUUUUUAAGUCGGAUGUGAAAUCCCUGAGCUUAACUUAGGAAUUGCAUUUGAUACUGGGAAGCUAGAGUAUGGGAGAGGAUGGUAGAAUUCCAGGUGUAGCGGUGAAAUGCGUAGAGAUCUGGAGGAAUACCGAUGGCGAAGGCAGCCAUCUGGCCUAAUACUGACGCUGAGGUACGAAAGCAUGGGGAGCAAACAGGAUUAGAGACCCCAGUAGUCCCUGUCUUUUAUAC